rnacentral:rRNA from 1 species
ACGCUCGACACCUACGGGCAGCAGUAGGGAAUUUUCGGCAAUGGGCGAAAGCCUGACCGAGCAACGCCGCGUGAAGGAAGAAGUCAUUCGUGAUGUAAACUUCUGUUAUAAAGGAAGAACGGCGCCUGUAGGGAAUGACAGGCGAGUGACGGUACUUUAUGAGGAAGCCACGGCUAACUACGUCGCNGNCGCGAGUAUNGNGGCGNGNGAGAG